ACUAUUGUUGCUUCACUUACAGUCAUGAACAUGAGCAGUGGAUCAUGUACAAUGAUACCACUGUGAAGGCGAUUGGUGGCUGGGACAACGUUUUUAUCAUGUGUAAGGAAGGGAAUAUGCAACCCCAGGUUCUUCUUUUCAAGGCUGUAAAUUAGCUAUGUAUAGUGAGACUCCCAAAUUCUCUCAAAAGCUUGAAGCUUGUUCACGUUGACAGCGUCACACUUUGGGUAGCCUUUUCUGUAAGGCUGGUUCUGUACACAAACACAAAUUAAAGGGUUUGGUUUGAGAUUGAGAAAUUGGAUUAUUGAAGUGCAACUCUGUUUUGGUGUAUUUAGGCUCCUGUAUUUUCAUCUAAUAAGGUGGUGCAGCCAGGGUUAACCCAUUUUUACAUGGCAUGUAUGCAUAAAGGAUGCUUAUCAUGGGUGGAACCAGUGUUUACAGUAUGUUGAUGAUGAAAACUGUAUCUUUCAAAUUGAAUUCUUGAAUGCAGGAUGUGCAAAAUAAACCACAUGAUUUGAGCAAUCUUCAUUUGUAUAAGAGCUGUUGUCCAUGUUGGCAAAGAAAAUAAAGAAAGCGAGAGAUUUGUAGGGA